rnacentral:misc_RNA from 1 species
GAUGAAGAACGUAGCGAAAUGCGAUAAGUAAUGUGAAUUGCAGAAUUCAGUGAAUCAUCGAAUCUUUGAACGCACAUUGCGCCCAUUAGUAUUCUAGUGGGCAUGCCUGUUCGAGCGUCAUUAAUUCCACUUAAGCCCUGCUUAGUGUUGGGAAUCUACUCUAGUGGUGCUGCCCUGGAGCUACCCCUGAAAGGGGGCUGGCCCGGUAGCUACCCUGUAGUUCCUCAAAGAUAGUGCGCGGAGUUGCGUGGUCCUCUGAGCUUAGUAACUAUACACCUAGCUUUUGAGUGUCCCGCGGCGCCUGCCGUUUAAACCCCAUCUUUUAAUGGUUGACCUCGGAUCAGGUAGGAAUACCCGCUGAACUUAAGCAUAUCAAUAAGCGGAGGA